rnacentral:tRNA from 1 species
GGGCGAUUAGCUCAGCUGGUUAGAGCGCUUCUCUGAUAAGGAAGAGGUCGAUGGUUCGAUUCCAUCAUCGCCCA